GAUAACACAAAACAAUUUUUGUUUAAUAGCCAAACAUUCUGGCUUCGUGAAAACCUCAAACAAAUGAAAUUAAUUUAUUUUAAUCAAUGGCAUAUUUUUUUCUCGAUCAAGUAGAAGAAAAAAAUAUGGAAUCACCUUGCAAUUUGCAUUUCUAAAACAAACACCAGCACAAGUUUAAAAAUGCAAAUUAGUCUGCAGUUAAAAGAGAGUGCUUACAGACAUUAAAAGUGAUAUAAAAAUGGCACCUGUGAACCGCACCAUCAACCUGUAUUAUCUGAAGCAAAGACGCAAUUCACAGGCGUGCCCCAGUAUGACAAAGCUACGCAAUGUCUCAUUGCCAUCUCAGUGAAAAGGGUAACCCAGACAUUCCGUUAGAAAGACAUUCAAGCCCAGGGUGGAAUGUAUAUCCAGGCUGUAAUAUUGAAUGAAUGUGUGUGGCAUAGACCACCCCACUGCAGCACACAUCCUGUAAGGGUACCACUUUGGACAAAUCCUUUGAGGAAGCGACACCUGUAGUGGGAAUGAGUCCGUAUGCUCAGAGGCAUAGUGAGACCGAUGCACCUCAUAUGCAAUAGAGAUUGCUUCCACUAUCCAAUUAGAGAUGCAGUACUUCGACACAGCAUCACCUCUGCUGUCGCUGCCAAAGCAGACCAGCAGCUGCUACGACUUACACUGGCAGCAGAGAGCCCUUACUGGACACAGUAGGUGCAAUUUCUCUUGUUCCUGUGUGAGGAACAGAGGAAGGCAGAAAGCCUGCAACACUACUGGCUGGGCAGCAGACGUAGGCACUUUAGGAAUAUAAUCCGGCCUAGGAUAUAGGAAGGCCUUGGCUAAUCCAGGGGUAAAGUCAACGCAGGAAGGACAACAGAGAGAGCUCGUAGGUCUCCUAUUCGCUUGAGAGAUGUCAGGGCCAGCAGAAAAGCUACCUUUAGAGUCAGAAGGAUCUCAGAGACUGAUUCUAAGGGCUCAAAUGGGGCACCUGACAUACCUUCUAGAACCACAGAAAGGUCCCAGGAAGGUAAGCGUGGUCUGCAGAUUGGCCUCAGCCAUCUGACAACACACCUAAACCUAGAAGUUAGAGGAUGUUGCCCCACAGAGUCUCCAACAAUAGGGGCAUGGCUGACCGAAAUGGUGGCCAUGUAGGCCCUAAUUGUAAAAGGAGCCAACCCUGCUAAGAAACGUCCUCAUAAGAACUCCAGGACUGUAGCUACUGUGCAGUUCACUGAGUCUAGCUGACAUUCCUCACAUCACGAGACAAAAAGUCGUCACAUGAGCUCAUGCAAUUUCCUUGUGCAAGGUGCUCUAGUGUUCAACAUGGUCUCUACAACCUCAGUUGCGAGUCCAGAAUCUAUGAGCUGGUGCACCACAGGGACCAAACCCACAGUUUCCAUAGUUCCGGCCAAGGGUGAUAAAUCCUCCCUCUGGCUUGAGACAGUAGAUCACUGUGGAAGGGAAUCUCCCAAGGAGUGCCGUCCAGCAGUGAUAUUGUCUAUUAUAUUAUUAACCAAUAAGGUGUUACUUGCAGCAGAUGUAGACAGUCUUGGUCAACUCUUACUGGAACUUACGGGAGCAGAGCAAUCAUGGGAAAAACAUACAGAUGUGACCUCGGCCAUGUGUGCACCAUGGCGUCAAGCCCCAAUGGUGUGGGAGGAGUGAGUGUGAACCGCAGCGGGCAGUGUGUUUUCUCCUCGGAGGCAAACACAUCCACUUCUGCUUGGUUAAACCUCCGCCAUUUAAAUUCCAGCAGUUGUGGAUGGAGCCUCCAAUCCCUGGGCCUCAGCCCCUUCCUCAGCAGAUGUCUGCCCCCACAUUCCAGUUGUCCAGAAUGUACAUUGCACUCAUUGACAAAAACUUUCCCUCUGCUUAGAGAAGAAUUAGUUUCCUCCUGAAACUAAAGAAUUCUUCCUGAAUAGGAGGCAUGAACAUAAUCCUCCCUGGUGGUUGAUAUAUGAGACCGCCACAGCAUAUAUGUCACAACUAACACAUGGUGACCUCUCAAUUGAGAAAGAAAGAAUUUAAGUGCCAGAAAUACGGCCAUCAUUUCUAGGCAAUUUAUAUGCCACUCCAGAUGAGGGCAUCUUGAAUCUGUAUGUCCAAAGAGUAUAGUUCAGAUGACGCAGAUAUAAAAUUGGCUGCAUCCAUCUUUUUUUUUGCGGACCAGGAAAUAAUGGCUGUAAAAACCUCCCUCCCUCAGGAAACAGGGUACAUGUUCUAUGGCCCCUUUGUCUAAGAGGGAUCUUAUUUCCUGUGGUGACUACUGUGGGGAGCACACCUCUGAACCGGGGAGGGUCGAGCUCUGAACUGGACCCAGUAACCCUUUUCUACGGUAGACAGAACCCAUGGAGACACAUUUGGCAGUAGUUUCCACGCUGCCAGAUGGUCUUUUAGUGACAUUAACGUUCCCAUUGGAGGGAAACCAUCAGAUUUUCAUUGCCCUAUGACAGCACGUUGACCAGAGAACACUGAAAACUUGGGACAGCCUUGGCUAGGCAAGGCCCUACAGUAGUGUAACCAAGUGGUAAAUGGUCUGAUUAUUGCCUAAGUUGUCCUAGAGAUGUCAGUAAGUAGGUUCAAGUGAAUAGGCUAGGCAUGCGCACACACACUACGCAAUGCUCUGUGAGAAGUGCGGGAGAGAAGUCCGCUCUUGGGUUUGCUCGGUAGAUUUCACACCAUCCAGUGUGUUCAUCUAAAAUGUUGGGAGUUUCAACUCUUGGGAAUUGAAGGUAUUGUGCGGUGCAGGAGCUCAUAAUUUUCAGAAGGAGGAGUCACGAUGCGAGCUCCAAAAUCCGGCAGAGAGCCAGACCUGGAAAACAGAGCAAGAGAUAGAGAAGCGCUCAUCUCCGAUUCCUCUUCCAGAUCCAUUCGAGAUCCCCAGGACUUCAGCUACGAAGAGAGCUAGCCGCAAGCAGAGCUGCCUGAUUGUGAGGCUUUCACAAUGCACACACUCAGACAUCGUAAGGGCUGCUUAAGACACCCCUAGACACUUCACACAGAAAGUGUGUCCGUCCUCCGUCCGUGAUGAAAUGGGUGCAAGGCGUAACACACUUCCUGAAUUCUCUCGCAAUCAUACUUUUCUCUCUCUUUUUUUAAAGGGACAGAAAAGUAAAAAAAAAUCUUUCUUUUUUUUGAAAAGAUAGAGAGGAAAUGAAGAGUAUUUUUGUGAGCGUUAAACAAACAACCAUCAUGCAGUCUCGCUUAAGAGAAUAAGGCUGAUGGCAUUGAUAUCACAUUUAUUUGCCAUGUCACCUGAUCAGGGCACUCCUGUUAAUUGGCAUGAUGUUACACAAGCUUCAGCGCGCAUCCUGUAAUGGUCCACUCAGUGGUCCAAUGACGGUAUCCAAUGACAUGGUAGAAGGUUUCCUGCAUGUUUCCGUCUUUUCGAAUUGAUGUGAAUACAUUUAGAUUAUCAAAUUGAUCAUUCCAAUUCUGCUUGACUCUCUCUUAAAUUAAAUCUGACUCCAAUUGUAAAAACCUCAAUGUUGUAUUUGCUUCUUAGUUAUUUGUAGAUCACUGAUCUGUAAAUACGUUUGAUCUUUUACAUUUGAUUAAUUCUAGUUUAUUCUAUACUUUAAAUUGUGCUCGUUCAUUCGGAUUCUAUGUUGCUCAGAGUCUUGCGCCGGCUGUGUACAUGGAUAUCACGGUCACAAACUCUGCAGUCUUGGUCAUUAGCCAGAGAUAAUUGACUAAUACUAUUUAGAUGGCCACCCAUGCUUGCCCAUUUCUAAAAAGUACUCUUGUUUAGUCUACUUAGAUAAUAACACUUAAUUAUAGUAACGUUAUUUCUAGUUAGAGGUCAUGACCACUAAAAUUUACAGAGAUAGACCAAUAAUAUCUGAGUUAAAAUUAGCUUUAUAUAAUCAUGCCAUAGUUUCCUAUGUACACGUAACUAGAAAAAUAUUACAAUAACCAGAGGUUUAGACUUCACCCUAUUUAGACUUGGUCCUAAACGGAAAUUCCAUAUCGAGCCUGUACACAUUAAGUACACUUACCUUAAAGCCAAGUUGUUAGCCUGACCUCUAAAAUCUCAGUUGGCAUGCCCCAAUGCUACACCUAAACCAAGAUUUUAGCCUGUACUAAGCUGGUCACAGAUUUGCGGUAACAAGGACUUAACAUAAUCUACUAGAUACAAUAAUUAAGUCAGAAUAUAAUCAAGUCUAAUAAUUUAUUCAAUUUAUUCAGGUAUGAACACAUUAAUAAUAAGAAGAAAUAAUUACAUUCAGCAUUACAUUACCAAUCAAAUUCAAAACAUAAUAAUACAACAUAAGAAAGUUAAAAUUUGCAUACCUGGUUUAGAAAAACUACACACAGCAGUCGUGCGGGAGAUCUGUCUACAGAUUCCUUGAAUCUUUCGCCAGCUGUCCCCUAAAUACCCAGAUGCUCUGAGGGUCCAACAAAUGGUGUUGUUUGUGAUUAUAAUUUGAUAUUUGUGGAAGGAUGUACCUUAAUUUACAUAUAGGAGGUAAUUUGAGUGAGGGACCCUGGGAGGGUAUGCCUUUAAUGGCAUGUAAUAUUUUUAUUUGAGCUGCUGUUGAGGGAAUGAGACCAUAUUUUCCAGACGCAGUGAGACCUUUUGUAUGACAGCAAACAUGUAUAGUCAACAUCUUAUUCACAUUAAAACAUGUUAUGUAAUGCAUAUAGUCCUUGGGUGUAUUUAAGGUGAUCUCGACACAGAGAGAGAAGGGUGUGAGGAGAGAGGAGGAAGGAAACAAUGUAGCUCUUCCAGUGUCCACUCAGCAUGAUGUGCUGUCACAGGUGAGGAUGCUAAUUAGGUGGGAGAGAGUUUGAGUGUUAAUUCCCAUGAGAUUCCUCUUUCCUCAGAGAGCCGUUCUCUCCAGGUUCAGACAUCUUGGCACCAGCCUUACAUUUCUCAAAGUGUGGAGCUCAUGCAACGUUGAGUUCUCUUUGAAAGGGAACAAGGUUACAGUAGGCUAAAGAGCAAUCAUAGAGUGUGGAUGAUUAGAUAAAAAUAAUAUUCAGUUAUUAAUCAUGAAUCUGCACUGGCCAUGGAGAUGAUGCUGGAAGUAUUCUCUGGUGUUGUUCUAAUGAAAGAUAUAGUGAGGCCUGCCUGAAGAAAGCAAUCAAAUUUCCAAACUCAUUUUUGAUAUGGGGUUGUAUGUCAGGUAAAGGACCAGGGAAGACCUGAACAGUCAAUGCAAAGGUGUACACUGAAAUUUUGGACACCUUUCUCAUUCCAUCCAGAAAAUAGGUUUGGUGAUGAUGAAGUCAGUUUUCAGGAUUAUAAUGCAUCUUGCCUCAGAGCAAAGAGUGCUAAAGCUUUUCUUCAGGAAAGGCUUAUGAACUCAGUAACAUGGCCAGCAAACAGUUCAUUCCAUGACAAGGCUCCAUCCAGCAAAGCUGCUCUGUCAACUGCUAUUCGAGAAAGUUGGAGUCAGCUUGAUUGAGAAUAUUAUUUUUCAUUACUGAAGUCCAUACCUUCACUUGGGCUAUAAUAAAAGCCUGAGGAGGAGCAACAUAGUAUUAAUUGUGAUUUUUUUUUUCACAAAGCCACAAUGUCCAGCUAUUCAAAAAAAUUGUUUUCUGUCAUGUCUGUGAUUUGUUUAUGUGCUACGAAGUAGAAAAAAAAAUCGGGUAUACAUCCUCUACGUGUGGUGAUUCCAUAAUUUCUGCCAGGGGUUGUAUUUCAAUUCAUUCAUUCAUUCAUUCAUUCAUUCAUUCACUCAUUCAUUUAUCUUCAGUAACUGUGUUAUCCUUGUCAGGGUCUCAGUGGAUCCAGAGUCUAUCCUGGAAAUGCUAGACAUGAAGCUGGAUCUACACCAUGGAUAGGUAUGUGUAUAAUUUCCUUACCACAGCUGCAUAUUCUGUCACUGGCACUCCACUCCAUUGUAGGGCAUCCUGUACACACUCACAUCUGGAGGAAAUUUCACACAGCCAAUAUACCCAUUGGCAUGAGUUUGGGAGGUGGGGAAAAAAUGAGAACCCAGCUGAAACCCAUGAGGGUACAAAGAGGAUCAAGGAUCAAACGGGGAUGCUAGAGCUGUAAGACAGAAAUGCUACUACACCACUAUGCCAUGCUGUAUGAAUACUGAAAAUAUUUUGAAAUAUAUAUAUAUAUAAUUUUUUAUUUUAUUUAUUUAUUUAUUAUUCAGUGCACACUAAAUAUAGGAAACUGUAUUUUAUAACGACGGUUUUUAUUAAAGAGGCAAACAUAAAACAUACAAAAAGAGUGCCAGUGAUAGAAUAUGUAGCUGUGGUAAGGAAAUUAUACACAUACCUAAACACAUAACUAAACUCGCAAAAAUAAAUAUAAGGUUGGAAAAAAUGUACAUUAAUUGCAAAAACAGGUGGUUUAAGUGAAUGGUAAAGACAUCAGAUCAAAUCUAUGGAUGAACUAGUCAGACAGAAGGCUGCUAUGUGAUCUGUAAUGUAUAAACAGGGGCUCCCAGAUAGAUAGAUAAAUUUUAUCUAUUGAAAGUUUGUGAAUCUUUUAGAAUUUUCUAUAUUUCUGUAUACAUAUGACCUAAAACAUCAUCAGAAGUCCUAAAAGUAGAUAAAGAGAACCCAGAAAACUCUUUAGGGAUAGUUUUGUCAACCCUUUUCCAACCUGAAGAGCAGCAACAACACUUUUUCUGAGGUCCUCAGAAAUCUACUUUGUUUGUGCCAUUAUACACUUCCACAAACAAGAUGAGACAUUGGUUGAAAACACCUGACUCUAAUUUCACCUUCAAAUUAACUGCUAAUCCUAGAGGUUCACAUAUUUUUGUCACUCACAGAUAUGUAAUAUUGGGUCACUUUCAAUUCAAUUCAAUUCAAUUUUAUUUGUAUAGCUUUUUACAAUAGACAUUGUCUCAAAGCAGCUUUACAGAAAUAUCAACACGGUAUACAGAUAUUAAAGGUGUGAAUUUAUCCCAACUGAGCAAGCCACUGAGUGGCGACGGUGGCAAGGAAAAACUCCCUAAGAUGUUUUAAGAGGAGGAAACCUUGAGAGGAACCCGACUCAGAAGGCAACCCAUCCUCAUCUGGGUAACAACAGAUAGUGUGAAAAAGUUCAUUAUGGAUUUAUAUGAAGUCUGUAUGGCCUUAGGAGCAGCCAUAGUCCCAGCAGUCUGGAAAUAGAGAAGAUUUGAGCUCCAUCCAGAAUUUUCCUCAAUAAAUAAAUGACCAAGUAUAAUAUUUCUGUCGCAUUUGCUGAAUUGUGUUCUAUUUGUAUACUUUUAGGACUUUGUGUGAAAAUCUGAUGAUGUUUUAGGUCAAAUUUAUGCAGAAAUGUAGAAAAUUCUAAAGGUUUCACAAACUUUCAAGAACCACUGUAGCUGCAAGAAGACCAAAAUAUUUGUAUUGAAAGUUGAUACAGACAUUAACAAACAGAUUAAUGAGUAGAAGUGGUUAAUGGGACUGUGACCCUUAUACCAGAAAGACAGAUGAUAUGCUAUUUACAUUAGCUGACUGAAAUAAAAACAACUUAGAGUAGGAGUGUUGAUUUAACUGGACAAGACUGAUGAUUAUUAACAGAGAUCAAAUAGUGACUUUAACCUGGUAAAAUCAAGUGGCCUGGUGGGGGUCAUUUUCUGAACCCAUACCAUUAAAGGGCAUGGAACAAUAUUUGAAUUUGCUAUUAAAGAUUUAUAGUAAACACAUACUAAGAGACCAAUGAACAGAAUCUUGUUUAUGUGCAUGUUCAUGUCAUCUGACUCACUUAAAUGUGUGCUUAUCAGUUAUCAGUUUUAAUUGUGUUCUUUCUUUUUAAUUUCCAUUUCAUAUUGAAAUCAUAAAUGCCAUAAAAUUGUAUUAUUCCAGUAGUGUAUAUGUCUUAUGACAUAUAACUCUCAAAAUAUUAAAUAAAUGCAGACAUGAGUCAAAAACUGGAUUAGUUCUUUUUAAUUGUUUGGACAUUUUCCAGGAUUUAUUGGAACAUUUUCAGAAGUUGAAAGCAUUGGUAUUGCUUUUGAAAA